AGAGUUUGAUCCUGGCUCAGGACGAACGCUGGCGGCGUGCCUAAUACAUGCAAGUCGAACGCCUCUUUUCCCACCGGAGCUUGCUCCACCGGGAAAAGAGGAGUGGCGAACGGGUGAGUAACACGUGGGUAACCUGCCCAUCAGAAGGGGGUAACACUUGGAAACAGGUGCUAAUACCGUAUAACAAUCGAAACCGCAUGGUUUCGUUUUGAAAGGCGCUUUACGGUGCCGCUGAUGGAUGGACCCGCGGUGCAUUAGCUAGUUGGUGAGGUAACGGCUCACCAAGGCCACGAUGCAUAGCCGACCUGAGAGGGUGAUCGGCCACAUUGGGACUGAGACACGGCCCAAACUCCUACGGGAGGCAGCAGUAGGGAAUCUUCGGCAAUGGACGAAAGUCUGACCGAGCAACGCCGCGUGAGUGAAGAAGGUUUUCGGAUCGUAAAACUCUGUUGUUAGAGAAGAACAAGGGUGAGAGUAACUGUUCACCCCUUGACGGUAUCUAACCAGAAAGCCACGGCUAACUACGUGCCAGCAGCCGCGGUAAUACGUAGGUGGCAAGCGUUGUCCGGAUUUAUUGGGCGUAAAGCGAGCGCAGGCGGUUUCUUAAGUCUGAUGUGAAAGCCCCCGGCUCAACCGGGGAGGGUCAUUGGAAACUGGGAGACUUGAGUGCAGAAGAGGAGAGUGGAAUUCCAUGUGUAGCGGUGAAAUGCGUAGAUAUAUGGAGGAACACCAGUGGCGAAGGCGGCUCUCUGGUCUGUAACUGACGCUGAGGCUCGAAAGCGUGGGGAGCAAACAGGAUUAGAUACCCUGGUAGUCCACGCCGUAAACGAUGAGUGCUAAGUGUUGGAGGGUUUCCGCCCUUCAGUGCUGCAGCUAACGCAUUAAGCACUCCGCCUGGGGAGUACGACCGCAAGGUUGAAACUCAAAGGAAUUGACGGGGGCCCGCACAAGCGGUGGAGCAUGUGGUUUAAUUCGAAGCAACGCGAAGAACCUUACCAGGUCUUGACAUCCUUUGACCACUCUAGAGAUAGAGCUUCCCCUUCGGGGGCAAAGUGACAGGUGGUGCAUGGUUGUCGUCAGCUCGUGUCGUGAGAUGUUGGGUUAAGUCCCGCAACGAGCGCAACCCUUAUUGUUAGUUGCCAUCAUUUAGUUGGGCACUCUAGCAAGACUGCCGGUGACAAACCGGAGGAAGGUGGGGAUGACGUCAAAUCAUCAUGCCCCUUAUGACCUGGGCUACACACGUGCUACAAUGGGAAGUACAACGAGUCGCGAAGUCGCGAGGCUAAGCUAAUCUCUUAAAGCUUCUCUCAGUUCGGAUUGUAGGCUGCAACUCGCCUACAUGAAGCCGGAAUCGCUAGUAAUCGCGGAUCAGCACGCCGCGGUGAAUACGUUCCCGGGCCUUGUACACACCGCCCGUCACACCACGAGAGUUUGUAACACCCGAAGUCGGUGAGGUAACCUUUUUGGAGCCAGCCGCCUAAGGUGGGAUAGAUGAUUGGGGUGAAGUCGUAACAAGGUAGCCGUAUCGGAAGGUGCGGCUG
rnacentral:rRNA from 1 species